AACUCAUCAAGAGUAGUGGAGGGAUAGGCCCUGUGAAGCUACAGCAACCAUUCCAAGAGGAAAAGGUGCUAAUUCCUAUGACAAAUGUCGUUAGAUGGGAG
rnacentral:ncRNA from 19 species